AGAGUUUGAUCCUGGCUCAGGAUGAACGCUGGCGGCGUGCCUAAUACAUGCAAGUCGAACGGAGAGUAUUGACUUCGGUUUAUACUCUUAGUGGCGAACGGGUGAGUAACGCGUUGGUGACCUGCCCCGAAGCGGGGGACAACAGCUCGAAAGGGCUGCUAAUACCCCAUGUGGUCAUAGAGGUUAGAGGCUUUAUGACUAAAGGAGAAAUUCACUUCGGGAGGGGCCUGCGUCCCAUCAGCUAGUUGGUAGGGUAAAGGCCUACCAAGGCGAAGACGGGUAGGGGGCCUGAGAGGGUGACCCCCCACAAUGGAACUGAAACACGGUCCAUACACCUACGGGUGGCAGCAGUAGGGAAUAUUGCACAAUGGGCGAAAGCCUGAUGCAGCAACGCCGCGUGCGCGAUGAAGGCCUUCGGGUUGUAAAGCGCUUUUCUGAGGGAAGAGGAAGGACGGUACCUCAGGAAUAAGUCUCGGCUAACUACGUGCCAGCAGCCGCGGUAACACGUAGGAGGCAAGCGUUAUCCGGAUUUACUGGGCGUAAAGCGCGUGCAGGCGGUUUGGUAAGUUGGAUGUGAAAGCUCCUGGCUCAACUGGGAGAGGCCGUUCGAGACUGGAAGACUUGAGGGUGGUAGAGGAGAGUGGAAUUCCCGGUGUAGUGGUGAAAUGCGUAGAUAUCGGGAGGAACACCAGUGGCGAAAGCGGCUCUCUGGACCAACCCUGACGCUCAGAUGCGAAAGCUAGGGGAGAGAACGGGAUUAGAAACCCCGGUAUUCCUAGCCGUAAACGAUGCUUACUCGACCUUGGGCCCUUGGGGGCGCAGCGUCCAAGCGAAAGCGUUAAGUAAGCCACCUGGGGAGUACGUCGGCAACGAUGAAACUUAAAGGAAUUGACGG
rnacentral:rRNA from 1 species